GCUUGUCUCAAAGAUUAAGCCAUGCAUGUCUCAGUGUAAACACUAGUCUUGUGAAACUGCGAAUGGCUCAUUAUAUCAGUAAUGAUGUCUUUGAUGUUGUUUGGCACAUGGAUAACUGUGCGAAACGUAGAGCUAAUACAUGCAUAGAAUCCCGCGUGAGGGAGGCAUUUAUUAGGUAGCAACCAACCCGGCUCGUCCGGCGUGGCUGACUCAUGAUAACUUGGCAAACCACAGGACCAUUUGGUCAGUGGGUCAUCAUUCCAAUUUCUGCCCUAUCAGCUUUCGAUGGUAGUGUAGUGGACUACCAUGGCGUUCACGGGUAACGGAGAAUUAGGGUUCGAUUCCGGAGAGGGAGCCUGAGAAAUGGCUACCACAUCCAAGGAAGGCAGCAGG
rnacentral:rRNA from 1 species